CAGGCGGGGUCAAGACCGCUGGCAUUUCACUCAUGCAGGACCCCUCAGGCCAGACUGGUGUGGGAGGGGAACAGGUGUGGGAGGGGUUCUGGGGAGGAGAGCCCUUCAGGGUGUGUGUCUGAGAACAGAGGGGGCAUCCCUGAGGGUGCUACCUCAGCAAAGGCGAGGCCCAGUGCUCCUGCUGCCAGGGCCUGGGUAAGGCUGGCUUAGGCACCAGCGUGCCCUUUCUCGCUGUGACUUGACCUCCCCUCAGUCAGAUGGGGACCGUGGUCCGCUGGGGGCGACAUGAGGCACUUUUUGGAUGCUCCCGCAGGGUGGGCGGGCUGGGCAUUUCCUGUGCACUCACUGUGCGCCUGCUCCCGGGAGCUGUGUGGUCUCUCUGUCCCCUGGGAGGUGGGUCUCGUUAUCUCCACCCUCCAGGUGAGGGAAUGGUUCCUAGAGGUUGGGAGACCUGCCUGAGGCCCCACUAAGGCAGAGCCCUGGGCAGGGACCCCAGGCACUGGGCUUUUGGGAGGGAUCGUGCUGCUCUCGGAUAGCCUCACCCACCUUUUCCAGGGCAGGGCUGCCCCGUCCAGUUCAGCGCACACAACCAAAUAGAACAAACUAAAAAUACUUCCGAUGUUACCGGUUUGUGUACAUUACAGGAAAUCUGGAGAAAUACAGCAGAAUUUUAAGAAAGGAGUUAUGUUAAUCAGCUCAGGUUAUUAUAACAAAAUACCACGGACAGGGUGGCUUAACCAACAGACAUUUCUCACAGUUCAGAAGGCUGGAAAUCUGAGACCAGGUGCAGCAAGGUCAGGUUCUGGUGAGGGCUCUCUAACUGACUUGCAGACAGCCACCUUCUUGCUGGAUCUCACGUGGAGAGAAUGAAAACCAGCUCUCCUGCAUCUCUUCUUAGAAGGACUCAUCCCAUUACGGGAUCCCACCUCAGGACCUCAUUAAAUCGAAUCACCCAGUGCCCCAUGGAUUCUCCUGGCCUGGACAUCCCCAGGGAAUGCUGUCUGCACAACCUUGAAACUUGCCCGUAGUGGUGGGCUUUUCUUGCGUUCACGUGAGAGGCAUUUGUGGAGUUCCCACUGUGUGCUGGUCACCAGCUGUGGUGCUGCCCCAUGAAGCCCUUAGGAGCAACUGAUAGAAGCAGACAGCGCCAGCACCUGUUAAAUGGAUCAGCAAGGGCAAAUGCUGAGAAAAUGAGGCCAUCCUGCCUGGCCCCGCCCCCAGGGCAGCCGACCCCCUUCUGCAGCCUGGAGCGCCAGGCGCAUCAGCCUCAGGAAGUAGCCGAAAUACACUGACCUGUUUUCCAGGAGGCAGCGGCGCCUUCUUCUCCCACCCCCGAUGGUGAGAAGCCGCCAACCAUUUCCAUCCCAAAUUGAUUUCAAAUAAGGAAGAGUUAUCACAUACCAUCAUAUGGGAAUAAUUUAUCACUUGUUAAUAAAAGAGCAAUUACUUAUUCACGUCGCCCCUGCCUGUGCGUUGGGUUCAGUUGCAGAGACAUGAUUAGGACCCUCACAGAAGCCAAAGGAGGCUUGUUUGUGCUCAGCCACGGCCACGGAGAACCCUCCCCUGGGCCUGAGGGUCCUCAGUUUGGGGCUGGGGGCUCAGAUCAAUGAGAUGGGAGCAGGGCAGAGGUGAGGAGAGGUCAGGGGGAGUGGCGGCAGGACUGUGGAAGGCCCAAGCACACAGAUGGACUUUCAGGCUGGAAGCUGUCCCUUUAAAUGUCUGGAUCUCAGAGGCUUCUGGAGCCAAGAGCCUGAUCAUCCCUGGGGACGCGGAGAGGGGGUGGGGAGCGGGGGAGGCGAAUUCGGCCACCCUUGGCUGAGCAGGGGCUGAAGAGGAGCGCGUGGGGCCUCAUCCCUGUACCAGACACUAGGCCACGCCCUGCUGGAGCUCUCAGCCCCACUUUUCUCCUGCACCUGGGAGGCACCUACUUCUGACCCACGUUCGCCUCCACCUUCGGCAGACACGCUUUAUUUUCUCCUUUUUAUUUAUCCCUACCUCUGAGAUUUCAGUGCAGCCGUUUUUAGAAAGACAACACUGUGGUCAACGAUAUCUCGCUCAAAGUUAAAACCUGCGCCCAGCCCUCAGAGGCUGGUCUGGAAAUCGGUUUGCAUUCCUGGAAGGCAGCCACUGUUGCCUCCUUCUUCAUUGUUCCCAGUGGUUACCUUCACAUUGCCACGGCUCCUUCCCCAGCUCCCUCUUCCUUAGCACACUCCCCAGGGCGGCUGUCUUGCUACCUUCAGUUAAUUCACAACCAGUGUUUCCAAGCUCAGGUCACAUCAAUAAAUGCUCUUCGCUA